rnacentral:misc_RNA from 1 species
UUCCUUUUGUGGGUUUUGUUCAUAGUUUUGCAGGUUUUUUAUAUGUUGCGUUUUCCUAUGCUUAUUUGGUUUCUGGGAAAAUUAAAAAUAAGAAGGCAAAUUACUUUUUGAUCUUUAAUUUCGCCGUUUUCAAAAUUGUGUACAUCUUGCCUUAGCUAGUUUGAAUUACUUUUCCGCCCAGCGUCAUGUCCUUUCUUUGGUUGUAGAGAAGAACUGGGUAGAAAGGGAAGAAAAAUGAAAAUCAUUAAAAGUUUUAGGAGGGAGAAGUUUUGGGUUUCUGGAGUCUUUGCGUGUUCUUUGUUGUUUCCUGUCCUUGAUCAACAUCCAAAGGGAUCAGUAGUCUUCUUUUUAGCAACUUUUCAUAGGUUUAUCUAGGACUUGUGUCUUUUAUCUGUGAUUUUGUUUAUGCCUGUUUGUGAUUAUGUUCGUCUCUGUUGAUUUAUUCGGUUUCUGAGAACUUGCUUUCACCUUUAUCUACUGUGGGUUUGGUUGGAAAUUGGCCGUUUUCUGGCUCCUUGUUAAGAAUUUCAUAGAAAAAUCCUUUCGGUUCUGCCUGUUAUUCUUGUCUAUUAGAGACUUUUUCAUGGGUUUUAACAUAUGAAUUCUUAGUUAUUGAUCUCUUUGAUGUUAUUUGUUUGCAUUUUGCACGUGUUACUUAAAGUCUUGUGCAAAUUCAUGUGGAUUGAUAUGGUUUAUGAAGUCCUGUAAGUAGGUUGAACUAGGAACUUGACAGAAAAACCUUUUGUGGCCGUGCUGGAGCAUAGAUUUUUAUCCUAAUGGUUUUAAAAUUUUUUGAAGGUGUAUUUGUUAGGUUUUUUAAGCCUUAACAGUUCUUGUGAGGUUUCAAAUUCAAUAACUUCAGCUAGUUGCAUAUGGACUUAUGGCUUUAAACAUUUGUCAGGAAACAGAAUCUCAGAAAAGGAA